AUAUAUCACACACAUGAAUAAUAAUUCAGAUCUAUGUAUGCUUCAUAUGUCACAUAAAUGAAUAAAUUCAAGUCAUAAAAAAUAAUUUUAGAUCUGAACAAAUAAUCACAUAUCAUAUAUAUGAAUAAAAUUCAUAUUAUAAAAACUAAUUUUAGAUCUGAAUUUUAUUCUACAAACAAAUUAGAUCCAAAACAAACCCUACUUAACAUCUUC
rnacentral:lncRNA from 1 species